rnacentral:lncRNA from 1 species
AGUAAAAAGUAGGGGAAAGUUGAGCCGACGAGAUUCCCAUGAAGAGCACUAAGAAAGCUAAAGUCACAGUAAUGGCCAUUGGAGAAGAAAAAGAAGCCAUUGAUACACAACUAAUUAAUUAAGUUGACACGUACUAAUUAAGAAACACUAAAACUAGAAAUUAAUUAAGAAUUAGUAGAGCUAGCUAGGUAGAAAUUAGGAAGUAUGUUGUGCAGUUGUGCUCAUAAUGGUGUACAAAAUGAGUAGUAUUUAUAGAGGAGAUUGCAUGUAGAGUCAUUUGUGCUUUGUAGUUAUAGGUGUUAGCCUGGCCGACCGGUUACCUAACUCAAAGACUCCAUCUAUGGAAAUUAAU